GUUGAUGGAGGCACAGGGCUCCGACCAUGGUGAAAGCAAGAAACAUUCCAGAGAGGACCACAAAGAUGCGGAUGCAGUCUGUGCUGCACAGGGACCUUUGGGCUGUGGUAGACAGGGGCCACACAAGUGUUUUUGGGGAGGGCCUAGGUCUCGACUCUCCUCAGCCCAGGCCUCCUGUUACCCAUCUGCCAUCUCUCUCUCACCCCGAUCCCCACUGCUACCAUUGGACUAAGUCCUUUCCUAAUCUUUAGAUUCUGCUUCUCCUACUUCUUACUCCUACUCCAGGAGCUUUCUGGCUGACUUCCCUCUCUUGUAUGCAUUCUCUCUGGGGGUGGAGAAUGGGGAGGAAACUCACGUGGUCCGUGGGUAGAGAGAGCUGGGGCAGGCAGCCACCUGAAAUCAGCUAGAGUUUGCACCUGCCGGACUGUCCCGGCCUCUGGCAUCUCUGGAAAAAGAGACAGGGUGAGCAGCAGCAGGGCACCUCCCAGGGCACAAGCCUGGGCUGAAUGAGGGCCUGAGGCCUAAGAGGCGCUGGGUGAGAUGGGAAGGCUGACCAGCUGGCCGGGCAACUUAUGUGGGGAGGGUGCUGGUUGGGGGGGGGGUGCCCUUAUCCCUGUGACUGGACAAAGUGUUGCCUGGAACUUACUUUUGGCGUAAGGUAAGUGGGUGGGUUGUAGGUGUGGACCUGGGGCCUGAGAUGGACGAGGUGUCAGUGAGGGGUUUGAAGGAGGAUCACACUCGGUACACUCCUUGUCCCUGCACUGCCAGCCCUUGGGACAGGCACACUCUGCAUUGGCGGUGAGGGUGCAGUUUCGAAUGAGGAGACCUGGGGACAGAGGAGGGCAGGAGGAACACGAGAAGCUCAGGCCUCAGAGACCUGCAAGGUGCGCUCGCUAAAUCCUAUCUUGAGCUGCUGUCCCAGACCCGACUCCCGGAACUCCUGCCCCAUCUACACAAGGGCCUGCCCCUCCCUCGCUGUCACCCAGUGCCUCUGCCUUUAUUACUAUUGCCAUGAAAGGAAAAAUGUAGACCUUUUAGAAAAUUCAUGCUUCGGAAAUGCAAACUGGAAAAAGUAGAAACAGCUUGCAUGAUUUUCUCUCUUAUUCACUGAUACUUUUAUAACUUCUUGAAGUGUAAUUUACUUACAGAGAGGUACAGAGAUCAGAAGCGUCAAACUUGAGAAUUGCUACAAAUUGGACCCAUAGACAAGAGAAGCAGAGUUCCUUUCUAGUCACUACCUCCUCCCACCCACACAUAACCACUAUCUAGCCUGACUUCCUAACACUGCGAGUUCAUUUUGCUUCUUUUUGCACUACAUUUGUGUAGUCAUGGGUGUGUACUUACUUGUAUCAGGCACUCGUAUUCAAUCUUUGUGAAAUUCAUCCACAUUGUAACCAUAGGCUAUUCCUUCUCCUGCUGUAUAGUAUUCCACUGUAUGAAUUUCCCAUGAUUCAGUUAUCUAUUCUACUGCAAAUGGCACGUGGGUAGUGUCCAGUUUUUAAGCAAUCAGGAAUAGUGCUGCUAUGGUCCCUGAUAGGUUUUUACUUUUUAAUUUGUUUUUAAAUGUUCAUUUUUGAGAGGGGGGAGGGGCAAAAAGAGAGGGAGAGAGAGAAUCUCAAGCAGGCUCUGAGCUGGCAGUGCAGAGCCCGACGUGGGCUCAAACCCACAAACCAUGAGAUCAUGACCUGAGCUGAAAUCAAGAGUUGGACACUUAAGCAACUGAGCCACCCAGGUGGCCCCCUGAUAGGUUUUUAACUUUACUAGAGAUUUACUUCAUUACUAACACACUUUGCCUUUUUAAAAAAAAAAAAAUUUAAAUGUUUAUUUAUUUUUGAAAGACAGAGACACAGACAGAGUGCAAACAGAGGAGGGCAGAGAGAGAGGGAGACACAGAAUCUGAAGCUGGCUCCAGGCUCUGAGCUGUCAGCACAGAGCCCGACGCAGGGCUCAAACCCACAAACCGUGAGAUCAUGACCUGAGCUGAAGUCGGACACUCAACCGACUGAGCCACCCAGGUGCCCCUACUUUGCCUUUUAAAUAGAAAUGUUAUUCAAGUGUAGAGGUCGGGUGCUGAAUGACUGCCAAUAAAUUAUACUAGAGGAGGAGGAUGUGAGGGGUUCUAGUCUGGGUUGGACUCACAGGUGGUUGGGGUUAAGAAGAGGAGGGUGAUUCUGGGGAAGGCAUCGGCACCCGGACAUGGGCCAGGUUUGCCCAUGGACUGGUGGGACCUUAGGACAGUGCACUCAUGGGGAACCAGGGAGAAGAGCCCCCACAGGCAAGGAGGGGUGCAGAAAGGAAGGCUGGCAGAUGUCGAAGAUGCCUACUAGUACUCUAAUAUUCCUUUAGCAUGUGCUUUUUGUGAGGAAAGGGAGAGGGACACAAAUUCCUUCUUCCCAUCCUUAGGCCCCUAGGGCCGCUUCUUUCUGAAUUUUGACUCGUAGUUGCUACUAGAAUUUGGUUUCCUUGUGGCUUACCAGGAAUUGUGAGCCAGCCUGGACAAGGAUCUGCAAGAAGAGAA
rnacentral:lncRNA from 1 species